rnacentral:rRNA from 1 species
CCUACGGGAGGCUGCAGUGGGGAAUUUUGGACAAUGGGCGCAAGCCUGAUCCAGCCAUGCCGCGUGCGGGAAGAAGGCCUUCGGGUUGUAAACCGCUUUUGUCAGGGAAGAAAUCUUCUGGGUUAAUACCUCGGGAGGAUGACGGUACCUGAAGAAUAAGCACCGGCUAACUACGUGCCAGCAGCCGCGGUAAUACGUAGGGUGCAAGCGUUAAUCGGAAUUACUGGGCGUAAAGCGUGCGCAGGCGGUUGUGCAAGACAGGUGUGAAAUCCCCGGGCUUAACCUGGGAACUGCACUUGUGACUGCACGGCUGGAGUACGGCAGAGGGGGAUGGAAUUCCGCGUGUAGCAGUGAAAUGCGUAGAUAUGCGGAGGAACACCGAUGGCGAAGGCAAUCCCCUGGGCCUGUACUGACGCUCAUGCACGAAAGCGUGGGGAGCAAACAGGAUUAGAUACCCCUGUAGUC